rnacentral:snRNA from 1 species
GUGUUUGCUUCGGCAGCACAUAUACUAAAAUUGGAACGAUACAGAGAAGAUUUGCAUGGGCCC